CCCCUAGAUGUUCUGGGCCGCACGCGCGCUACACUGAACAGUUCAACAAGUCUUAACCUUGGCCGAUAGGUCUGGGUAAUCUUUGAACGCUGUUCGUGAUUGGGAUAGACCUUUGCAAUUAUGGGUCUUCAACGAGGAAUUCCUAGUAAACGCAAGUCAUCAGCUUGCAUUGAUUACGUCCCUGCCCUUUGUACACACCGCCCGUCGCACCUACCGAUUGAAUGGUCCGGUGAAAUCUCGGGACGGCGGCUUGGUCGCUUGCGUCCGACUGCUGAAACUUGAUUAAACCAUAUCAUUUAGAGGAACGUGAAGUCGUAACA
rnacentral:rRNA from 1 species